rnacentral:rRNA from 1 species
GAUGAACGCUGGCGGCGUGCCUAAUACAUGCAAGUCGAGCGAACAGACGAUGAGCUUGCUCCUCUGACGUUAGCGGCGGACGGGUGAGUAACACGUGGAUAACCUACCUAUAAGACUGGGAUAACUUCGGGAAACCGGAGCUACUACCGGCUAAUAUAUUGAACCGCAUGGUUCAAUAGUGAAAGACGGUUUUGCUGUCACUUAUAGAUGGAUCCGCGCCGCAUUAGCUAGUUGGUAAGGUAACGGCUUACCAAGGCAACGAUGCGUAGCCGACCUGAGAGGGUGAUCGGCCACACUGGAACUGAGACACGGUCCAGACUCCUACGGGAGGCAGCAGUAGGGAAUCUUCCGCAAUGGGCGAAAGCCUGACGGAGCAACGCCGCGUGAGUGAUGAAGGUCUUCGGAUCGUAAAACUCUGUUAUUAGGGAAGAACAAAUGUGUAAGUAACUAUGCACGUCUUGACGGUACCUAAUCAGAAAGCCACGGCUAACUACGUG